rnacentral:rRNA from 1 species
AGAGUUUGAUCCCUGGCUCAGAUUGAACGCUGGCGGCAGGCCUAACACAUGCAAGUCGAGCGGUAGAGAGAAGCUUGCUUCUCUUGAGAGCGGCGGACGGGUGAGUAAUGCCUAGGAAUCUGCCUGGUAGUGGGGGAUAACGUUCGGAAACGGACGCUAAUACCGCAUACGUCCUACGGGAGAAAGCAGGGGACCUUCGGGCCUUGCGCUAUCAGAUGAGCCUAGGUCGGAUUAGCUAGUUGGUGAGGUAAUGGCUCACCAAGGCGACGAUCCGUAACUGGUCUGAGAGGAUGAUCAGUCACACUGGAACUGAGACACGGUCCAGACUCCUACGGGAGGCAGCAGUGGGGAAUAUUGGACAAUGGGCGAAAGCCUGAUCCAGCCAUGCCGCGUGUGUGAAGAAGGUCUUCGGAUUGUAAAGCACUUUAAGUUGGGAGGAAGGGUUGUAGAUUAAUACUCUGCAAUUUGA